UUCCCCUACGGGAGGCAGCAGUGAGGAAUAUUGGUCAAUGGGCGCGAGCCUGAACCAGCCAAGUCGCGUGAGGGAAGACGGUCCUAUGGAUUGUAAACCUCUUUUGUCGGGGAGCAAAAGACGCCACGUGUGGCGUUCCGAGAGUACCCGAAGAAAAAGCAUCGGCUAACUCCGUGCCAGCAGCCGCGGUAAUACGGAGGAUGCGAGCGUUAUCCGGAUUUAUUGGGUUUAAAGGGUGCGCAGGCGGAGGUGCAAGUCAGUGGUCAAAUUGCGGGG
rnacentral:rRNA from 1 species